UCUGUACUUAAAAGGCCACGCUUGUAUC
rnacentral:piRNA from 1 species